rnacentral:rRNA from 1 species
GUCCUUGCCGUAAACGAUGUAUACUUGAUGUAAUUGGGCUCAACCCUGAUUGUGUCGAAGCUAACGCGAUAAGUAUACCGCCUGGGGAGUACGCUCGCAAGGGUGAAACUCAAAAGAAUUGACGGGGGCCCCGCACAAGCAGUGGAGCAUGUGGUUUAAUUCGAUGCAACGCGAAGAACCUUACCCAGGCUCGAAAUGUAAUGGCUAGUACCAGAGAUGGUAUGUUCCGCAAGGACUGUUAUAUAGGUGCUGCAUGGCUGUCGU